rnacentral:rRNA from 1 species
UACGAAGGGGGCUAGCGUUGCUCGGAAUUACUGGGCGUAAAGGGCGCGUAGGCGGAUAGUUUAGUUGGGGGUGAAAGCCCGGGGCUCAACUCCGGAAUUGCCUUUAAAACUGCAUCGCUAGAAUUGUGGAGAGGUAAGUGGAAUUCCGAGUGUAGAGGUGAAAUUCGUAGAUAUUCGGAAGAACACCAGUGGCGAAGGCGACUUACUGGACACAUAUUGACGCUGAGGUGCGAAAGCGUGGGGAGCAAACAGG